CUACGCGCCUUUCACACAUGCGGAAGUGAAAGUGCAGAAAGUGUUGAUAUUUUCGUCAUCAUCUGAACGGACAACACAUAUUAACAUCAUAAAGAGACUUCUGUCAUAACAGUAUCGACAACAUGUCUGUCGCAAAUCCGAAACAAACAGUAUUGAAUCCAACGAUUCCUUAUGCUGGGACUAUCCUGGGUGGACUACAUCCCGGAGAGAUGGUGCUCAUUCAGGGCAGUGUGCUCAGUAAUGCUGACAGAUUUCAGAUUGACCUGACCUGCGGGUACAGCAUGAAGCCUAGGGCAGACGUGGCCUUUCAUUUUAACCCUCGCUUCAAGUGGUCGCCGUACAUUGUCUGUAACACACUCGAGAAGGAGUGUUGGGGACGAGAGGAGAUCCAUUACCUGAUGCCCUUCAGACACGGCGCUGCCUUUGAGAUCAUCAUACUCGUACAGAAAGAUCUGUUCAAGGUGGCAGUAAAUGGCUCUCACCUGCUGGAGUACAAGCACAGGUUAGAGCUCAAGAAGGUGGACACGCUGGCUAUAUCUGGGAAGGUUCAAAUUCAGGCCAUUGGAUUUAUUCCCAGUUCAGUGAGUAAGAGCCCUGUCACAUCACCAAGUGCAGCUGAGAGUAAAAGAAGUGAAAAGAAGUCUUAUACUGUCUUGUCGGAAUCAGGUGACCUGAAUCUUCCAUUCAAGAGUAAACUUGUGAAAGGACUGAGUCCAGGAGAUUCCAUUAUGGUGAAGGGUCGGAUCAGUGCUUCCCCAAACAGGUUUGCUGUAAACCUGCGUGUCAGUAACUCAGAAGACAUUGCUUUGCACUUAAACCCUCGCCUCAAGGCUGGAGUCUUCGUCCGAAACUCUUUCCUGUCAGGAUGUUGGGGGUCAGAGGAGCUCUCCCUGCCCAGUUUUCCUUUCUCUCCCAGCCAGUACUUUGAGAUGAUCAUCUUGUGUGAAGCUCAGCAGUUUAAAGUGGCAGUAAACGGGCUCCACCAGCUUAAUUACAAGCACCGCAUGCAGGAUCUGAGUCAGGUGGAUGAGCUGGAGAUACUAGGUGAUCUAGAGCUGAAGGAUGUGAAGAUGUGGUGAGCAGCUCCAGCCUGAAGACCAUUCUCAUGUGUUCUCCUACCAAGUACAUUUAAUCAACCCAAGCCUCAAGCAAUCAAAGCUAUGAUACUAAACCUAAAUAGUUUUAACUUUAAUUGAAUCCCUACCUAGUCCAAUCUGACUGGAAAUUAUACUUCUCAACAAUCUUUAUCUAACUAUUAGCAGAUUUAAACCAUACCUUGUUGUUUUGUUUGUUUUUUGAAAUCUUAAUGAAUUUGUGUAUUUAACAGCAUUCUACGUCAGCCAAAUCUAAUUGAAAGAUCCAGGUCAAAAUGGCCGUUCAUACAGAUUAAUUUUCAGCAAAACAAUCGACCAAAGUAAUUCAUUUUUAAUGAGAGUUUUCUGUCAUCACAAGUGAUAGUGAAAAAUUUAUUGGUGGCAUGAUGUGGGCAUGUCAAUCGACUUGAAAAGUUGAGAAGUUUAACUUUGUCCAAACGAGCAGUGACCCGAUGCAGAGACUAAUAAGAGACAUUGCAGCACAUGUGAUCCGUCUCCUGCGAGAAAUUCAGUAGGUUUACAAGUACUUUAAAGGGGUCAUGACAUGAGGAAUCAAAUUUUCCUUGAUCUUUUGACAUAUAAGAGGUCAUUGUAUUAUAAAAACAUACAGUUAGUUUCAGAACUCAAAACUUCCUCCUCACUGCAAAAAGAGCAUUUGUUGAAACCAAGCUGCCAAAACGACUUGUUCUCUACUUCCUCUAGAUUGUGAUGUCACACUGUGGUAGACAUUUGCAUCUGACCACCUCCACAACAACAAAUCAUUGCCUACUUUACCUUAUCACUUCUAUAGCCCCACCCAGUAUCGGUGAGCAGUUGAGAUGGCAAGGAGAGAGCAGUGUUCCUUCUUAGAUGUAAGAAAACUGAUUCGUGGUCAAAAUGGAAAGGCAUCUUACUUUUACUGGUGAUACAUCUCAUUUAUGAUCAGAUUUUCUAAAGUUAUCUAUGGCCAUUUGUGCCAGCCCACCAAUAGUGUUAGUGUAUCCAGCAGUAGGAAACAUUAUAGCAACAUGGUGACCUCCAAAAUAAAAUUACUUUGAAAAGAGCACAUCUCUAGCAAUGUCUAUGCUCACAUGUCAGAUUUGAACUUAACCAAAUAUGAGCAAAACAAGUCAUGGUAGAAUAGUAGGCUGGUUAAUACAGACCAGAACAGACCAAAUUUGGAGUUGGGCAAGUGAGGAGACCCGGAUGAGUUCAUGAGAGAUUGAUUAAAAAUGGCACUUCAUGUCAAAAAGGUCACCGACCAGUGAUAUAACAGAUAAAUGGUAAAAACUGGCACCUGGCAGGAUGUUAAGGUUUGUGUGACAGGAAUUGUCUCUCUAGCCAUUUGAUUAUAGAGUUAUUCCAGGCUAAUUCCAUCCUUUUGAAUAAUUACAGAUAAAUUAGCUCAUUUCAGACUAUUAGGGCAGAAGCAAGGCUGAUCCUGAUUUAUACCUUACAUUUUAAAUCAAUUGUUAACAAAUAACUUUUCAGUUUCCUUUCUGUCAGAGAGUUGUAAUCUAUUACAUUAGACAAGCAUGUUAACUAAUGCAGUGCCUGCACCAUGCCACAAAGGCAUUAUAGUAGCCCUACUGUACUGAAUAUCAAACUAAUAGUAUCAAUAUUCUGUUUCAGUUCAUCUAUUGAAUAUAUCAGUUAACGAAAUCAUCUCACAAUUUCCAUAUUUGAUGUAUUCAUGAGAUCUAAUCUUAAAAGAUUAGGCUGCAGGAACUCCAAAUGUCAUCUUGAUUUGCAUUUUGUUUGCAUCUCUAGAUAAAAUGAAUUUUGUUUGUAGCAUUUGCAGAACUAUGCAACAUUCCAACUGCCUGCAAUUGAUUUGUGCUACUGUUAUUUUGAAGAAUUAUAUCAAGGUAAUUUGUACCUGUAAGUUUUUUUUUCUUAGGUCUAUUUGACAAUGUAUGACAAAAAAGCAACAUUACUAUAUAAUCUAUUAUAAUAAAAAUGUUAUAUAUUUUACAA